ACCGGUGAACAUACCUGAAAGGUCACACCUGUUCCCAUUUCGAACACAGCCGUUAAGCUUUCAGGGCCGAUGAUAGUACUGCAAGUGCGAAAGUAGGUAUUGCCGGUU
rnacentral:rRNA from 1 species